rnacentral:rRNA from 1 species
CGGACGGGUGAGUAAUGUCUGGGAAACUGCCUGAUGGAGGGGGAUAACUACUGGAAACGGUAGCUAAUACCGCAUAACGUCGCAAGACCAAAGAGGGGGACCUUAGGGCCUCUUGCCAUCGGAUGUGCCCAGAUGGGAUUAGCUAGUAGGUGGGGUAACGGCUCACCUAGGCGACGAUCCCUAGCUGGUCUGAGAGGAUGACCAGCCACACUGGAACUGAGACACGAUCCAG